rnacentral:rRNA from 1 species
UACGAAGGGGGCUAGCGUUGCUCGGAAUCACUGGGCGUAAAGGGUGCGUAGGCGGGUUCUUAAGUCAGAGGUGAAAUCCUGGAGCUCAACUCCAGAACUGCCUUUGAUACUGAGAGUCUUGAGUUCGGGAGAGGUGAGUGGAACUGCGAGUGUAGAGGUGAAAUUCGUAGAUAUUCGCAAGAACACCAGUGGCGAAGGCGGCUCACUGGCCCGGUACUGACGCUGAGGCACGAAAGCGUGGGGAGCAAACAGG